rnacentral:rRNA from 1 species
GUAGGGAAUAUUGGACAAUGGGGGAAACCCUGAUCCAGCAACGCCGCGUGGAUGAUGAAGCAUCUUGGUGUGUAAAAUCCUGUCAGUGGGGACGAAACGUUUGCGGAGGAAAUGCCGCAGACCUGACUGUACCCGCAGAGGAAGUUCCGGCCAACUCCGUGCCAGCAGCCGCGGUAAUACGGGGGGAACAAGCGUUGUUCGGAUUUACUGGGCGUAAAGGGCACGCAGGCGGGGAGACAAGUCAGAUGUGAAAACCCAAAGCUUAACUCUGGGCCUGCAUUUGAUACUGUUUCUCUUGAGUAUGGGAGAGGAUAGCGGAAUUCUUGGUGUAGCGGUGAAAUGCGUAGAUAUCAAGAAGAACACCGGUGGCGAAGGCGGCUAUCUGGCCCAAUACUGACGCUCAUGUGCGAAGGCAAGGGGAGCAAACAGGAUUAGAUACCCCUGUAGUCC